rnacentral:rRNA from 1 species
AUUGAACGCUGGCGGCAGGCCUAACACAUGCAAGUCGAACGAGUGGCGGACGGGUGAGUAAUGUCUGGGAAACUGCCUGCUGGAGGGGGAUAACUACGGGAAACGGUAGCUACUCCCGCAUACCAUCAGAGGUGCCCAGAUGGGUUUAGCUAGUUGGUGGGGUAACGGCUCACCAAGGCGACGAUCCCUCGCUGGUCUGAUAGGAUGACCAGCCAAACUGGAACUGAGACACGGGCCAGACUCCUACGGGAGGCAGCAGUGGGGAAUAUUGCAAAAUGGGCGCAAGCCUGAUGCAGCCAUGCCGCGUGUAUGAAGAAGGCAUUCGGGUUGUAAAGUACUUUCAGCGGGGAGGCGUUACCCGCAGAAGAAGCACCGGCUAACUCCGUGCCAGCAGCCGCGGUAAUUC